rnacentral:rRNA from 1 species
GACGAACGCUGGCGGCGUGCUUAACACAUGCAAGUCGAACGGAAAGGCCAUGCUUUUGUGGGGCGCUCGUGUGGGGCGGGUGUGUGAGACACGUGUGUAACCCCCCCUUGUCUUUGGGAUAUCUCCAGGAGACAGGGGAUAAUACCGGAUAGAAGCUCCUGCUCCGCGGGGGGGGUUGGAAAGUUUCGGCGGUGGGGGAUGGACUCGCGGCUUAUCAGCUUGUUGGGGGGGUAGGGGCUUACAAAGCCUUCGACGGGUAGCCGGCCUGAGAGGGUGACCGGCCACAAUGGGACUGAGAGACGGACCAGACUCCUACGGGAGGCAGCAGUGGGGAAUAUUGCACAAUGGGCGGAAGCCUGAUGCAGCGACGCCGCGUGCGGGAUGACGGCCUUCGGGUUGUAAACCGCUUUCGCCUGUGACGAAGCGUGAGUGACGGUAAUGGGUAAAGAAGCACCGGCUAACUACGUG